rnacentral:lncRNA from 1 species
CAGAACAAGACUCCAUCUCAAAAAAAAGAAAAGUAUGCAAUGGGCCUAGGCUCUGUUCUCAACUUCUGAGUAAGCACUCCCACAGCUAUGCCUUUCUUUUCUGCUACAUACAGGAAGGGCUUGGUGAGGUUUGGAAUGCUGAGUGCACGAGCCUGGCUGAGAGCCCGUUUUAACUUGGUGAAAGUCUCCCUCAUUUCUAGGGUUCAUUCCAUUGGCUCAUCUUAAGGUCCCCUUGUUGCCUUGUAAAGGGGCUUUGCUAUGUGCCCGAAAUUUGGGAUUUGUAUCCUAUAGAAUUCAGCCAUUCCAAGUGAAGCUGCUGCUUGGCCUGUGAAUUAAUUUUGGUGCCCAUGACAUCCAGAGUUACCCAGGGAUCCUAAGUGGUAGUGAUGAUGUCCCUGGGUCCCAUGAGUCUUCAUCUGAUCCCUCCUUAUGUGCUGCUAGAGUUUUGACUGAUGGAGCCCCUUGGUGGGAGCAGGGGCAGUCAAUUAUCCAGUGCCAGAGGUCACGACUGGUGCCCUCACAUUGGCAGCACAGGCCCUGCGUGGGCUUAGUGCAGUACUUUGCCUAGUGCCCACUUUUCUUGCACUUGUAACCAGAGCUUUUGCCGGCAUUGUCCUUGGGACCCUUUGGGUUUUCCUUGGAUGACUUUUGGGCAUUUAGGGCAUCACCAGUGACAGUUGCCAUAAUUUUGGCUGUUUUUCUUUAGUGUAUUCCCUUUCCACUUCCUCCAGAUCACGUUUGUUAUAUACCAUGCAGGUGGUAUCAAUAAGCUGAUUUUGAUUAGUUUGUGGUCCCAUGUGUAGCUUCUGGAUUUUAUGCCUAAUGUCCAGGGCAGCUUGGCUAAUGAAAUCCUGUGCCAUUAGUACUUUGCCUUCAGGAGGGGGAGGGUCCAGGUUGGUGUAUUUUUUAAAAGCCUUUUCCAAUCCACUAUAAAAUAUAGCUUUCCUCCUUAACCUGUGUAAUUUCCCUUAAUUUACUGCCUUAGUCAUUUCCUUUCUCAUUCCUCCCAGGUGAGCUUCAAGGAAUUUGGCUGGGUUGUUCAUUCCCAUAGGGGUGUUAUAGUUCCAGUUACAGUCAGUGAUGGGGACUGUAUCUGGGCCCAGGCAAUUGCCCUCGGAGUUUCCGGCAAACAGCUUGUUUGCUUCACGUUGGGCGGCCUCAGAAAUACAUUCUUUCUCCAGAGGAGUGCAACAAGUUGCCAGGAUACAUUGAACAUCUUUCUGUGAGAGAUCGAAGGCUAAGGUUAAAGUUUGGAAGCCGUCUGCAAAUCUCCUGGGGUUCUCAGAAUAAAUUCCUAACUUAUCCUUUCAUUGCUGUAUAUCAGUUAUGGAGAAGGGGGCCUCCACUUAGAUUAGCCCCUCAACUCCUGCUACUUCCCUUGGGGGAAAUAGAGCUGGACAGGGAAUUGAAUAAGGUGUUCCCCUGGAAGUGUGUGGGGGAACUUAGUGGAGUUUCCGGCUCCUGUUCCUGGGUUUGAUCCUCAGGAGCACUUGGCAAGGGGUUGUAUGGAGGUGGUUACAGUUCCCCCUAAGAAACAGUGGCCCUUGCAGAAAGGGGUCAUCUAUAACAUCUGGUUCUACUUUAGGAAUUUUUUCUCUUUGAGGGCAAAAUUUGGAAGCCUUACAAAUUGAAGGGUUUUGGUGCAGGGCCAUAAAGGCUUAAACAUGGUAUUUCUGACCAUUUACCCUGCCUUUUACAAAAUAAGUCUAAUUGCAGGAUAGUGUCAUGACUGAGACUCCUAUUGACUAGCCAUUGCUCCUGGCUAUCUAGAGGAUACUGGGGCCAAACAGUAUUACAGUAAAAAAAACAAAUGUUUCCCUACUAUAUUGUCAGGGUUAAAUUGGUUCCAAUUAUUGAGGAUGCAGCUGAGUGGGGAGUCAGGUGGUAUGGAUGGAGUAUUUCCUAUUGUUGUUUGUAAGAGAGAAAAAGUUCUGAGGAGGGUUUAAUACUAGACCUCAGAACCUCCAUCUAGGGUCUUCCCCUUCAGAGAGGUUGUGGCCUAGGAUUGGAUCUCCCAAGGAGUCCCCCUUUGGGGUCCAAUCUUAGAGUGUCAGACAUCUCUGACCUUAGGUGGGCACCAGUGCUGCUUUGAAUGCUUUCCCUUCAUAGACAAUGGCCUAGUAUGAUUCCCUUCGUUCUUGGAUAUGGUUCUUGGCUUUUGGCAUCCUUGUAGCUGGCCACAAUAGUUUCUUCCCAAAUGGUUUCCUUAACCAUUGUUGUAAGUACAGUUUGAAGGGCAAGGGAUGGCAGACUGCCUAAUUUAAACUUGUUGGAGACUGGCCUCUCAAUAAGGGAGCAUGGUGCUCUCUGACUGUACCAGAUAAACCAGGAGCAGAGAUUACCCCAUGGAUCCACUGUGCAAUUUAUACAGUGAUCCAAGAGUCUCCACCAGGAUUCUUCUCUUAGUACCAGAUCUACUAAACUCAAAUGAUCUAGAAGUGGUCCCUUACAAAAGAAGCACAGCACUUUCCCUAUCCAAGUGGUUGGUCCCUAACCUUUAGGCUAAUGUUUGCUGUUGGAGCCUCCAUAGUCAGUUACCUAUUGCCCUGGCCCUUUGGGUUUGGGGUACAUCUCUAAUUGGUCUAAACAUGUUAUCCCAACACAAGCAGCAAAUAAAUAUAAUAUUAUAGUCACAAAAACAUGCACCUCAUGGCGGUAGGGAUUUAUCUUGUGCCCCUAUUUGUUGCAUUCCCUGACAGGCUGACUCUACGAGGGAAUUUUAGCAUAAGAAAAGGAGGGUUAAAGGCACCUGAAAUGUUUAUGUAUUCACCCUGGACAAGCCGCCACUGCCAGUUGCAUCACAUGUAGGGCUCAGGAACUAUAACCAGGAAAGAUAGAAAAGAAUCCCACUUCCAGGCCGGGCAGCUAACCCCACUCACUCUUUGGCUUUCAGGCAACACUGGAGAGUGGCCUGGGCCAGUUGCCCUCAAUUACCAACGAGCUACUGGGAAAUGGCUGCUGAAGGACUAAAAAGAAAAGGACUCAGGACCCCACCUGAAGCAGGCGAUGAUGGUUAGGUGUAAGGAAGAACAGAAGGAUCCAAGUGUGAGAAAGCCCACCCUGAGUCUCUCAGAGAUUCAUUUCACUACCAGGUCAAAGACACAAUCAAAAGCCCGACAAAUGGAAUUUGUGGAAUUGGAACAAAAAGCUUUUCUUCCUAGGCACAAGAACAUCAAAGCAUAAAUCCUUCAGGUAUCAGCAAUGACAUCACUUAAGAAUUUCUCAGAAUCUUUGGCACCACCCCAGGCCUACCGGAUCAGAAUCUGAAUUUUUUAACAAGAUCUCAGAUCUAGUCAAGAGUCCAGUCUGAUUUCUCUUUAUUGGGACUACCACCCAAAGCAGAAUGAGGAUGAUGUAACCACGCCCAGUGACUUCUGGAUACCACUGACUCUAGAUCCUGAAUUCCAGCAGAAUGGCUGACACCAACUGGUCUGAAGACCCUCACCAAGGAACUGACUCAGUGCAGGAAUGCAGUUUCUUCAUCUCCCUAUCCCUGACUUCACCCCUCACUUCUCAACCAAUCAGUGAUCACCACACUUUAGGCCAUCACCUGUGUCCAGACCCCUUAAAAACCCCAUCUGCAAACCUCUUGAAGAGGCAUAUUUGAGGUUUCCUCUCAUCUCCUCAUUUGGUUUCCCUACAAUUAUUAAAUUCUUUCUCUGCUGCAACUCCUACUUUUUCAGUGUAUUGGUCUGUUACUGUGCAACAGGAAAUCAGACCUGGUGGUCCUAUAGUAAGAGUUCACAGAAUAUGAUAUACAAAGUGAUCUGUGAUAUACAAAAACCGGCACAAUCUCACUCUUAAUAAGAAAAAUUCAACUUAAAAUUAAAAGUUUUUUUUCCUCAGAAUGGCAAAGAUCAAAGUUUGAUAACAUGGUUGGAAAGUAUGCAGACCGAUAUUCUCAUAUUCAUUGAUGAAGUGUAAAUUGAUACAUCCUUUGUCAGUACGGACAGGUUUCCCAACUCUAGGGGUGAAAUUUAUACAGACUACAGUGUGAAUGACAACCACUUCAAAUUGGGUGAUAUGAUGACCUUGACUCUGUGGAGGGUCAUUUGGCAAAAUAUCUCAAAAUAAAAAUGUACAUACAAUUUGA